UGCGGUCGCGGAGAAAGGGCUUCGGCCCCGGUACAGUGGCGCACGGGUGAGUAACACGUGGGUAAUGUUCCCUCGGGCGGGGGAUAACCCUCCGAAAGGAAGGCUAAUACCGCAUAAGACCACGGCUUCGAAAGGAGCCGAGGUAAAAGCAGGCCUCUUCAUGAAAGCUUGCACCUGAGGAUCAGCCCGCGGCCCAUCAGCUAGUUGGCAGGGUAAGAGCCUACCAAGGCUAAGACGGGUAGCUGGUCUGAGAGGAUGAUCAGCCACACUGGAACUGAGACACGGUCCAGACUCCUACGGGAGGCAGCAGUGGGGAAUCUUGCGCAAUGGGCGAAAGCCUGACGCAGCGACGCCGCGUGGGUGAUGAAGGCCUUCGGGUUGUAAAGCCCUGUGGGGAGAGACGAAUAAGUCGGCGCCAAUACCGCCGGCGAUGACGGUAUCUCCUUAGCAAGCACCGGCUAACUCUGUGCCAGCAGCCGCGGUAAGACAGAGGGUGCAAACGUUGUUCGGAAUUACUGGGCGUAAAGCGUGUGUAGGCGGCUAUGCAAGUCGGAUGUGAAAGCCCCGGGCUCAACCCGGGAAGUGCACCCGAAACUGCACGGCUCGAGUACCGGAGAGGUUGGUGGAAUUCUCGGUGUAGAGGUGAAAUUCGUAGAUAUCGAGAGGAACACCGGUGGCGAAGGCGGCCAACUGGACGAGUACUGACGCUGAGACACGAAAGCGUGGGGAGCNAACAGGAUUAGAUACCCUGGUAGUCCACGCCGUAAACGAUGGGUGCUAGGUGUCACGGGGCUUUGACUCCUGUGGUGCCGUAGCCAACGCAUUAAGCACCCCGCCUGGGGGAGUACGGGCC
rnacentral:rRNA from 1 species